AGUCUAAACUUGGAUUCACCAUUUACCCUUCUCCUCAGGUUUCUACUGCUGUUGUAGAGCCUUACAACAGUGUUCUCUCAACGCAUUCCCUACU